rnacentral:rRNA from 1 species
AACGAACGCUGGCGGCAUGCCUAACACAUGCAAGUCGAACGAGACCUUCGGGUCUAGUGGCGCACGGGUGCGUAACGCGUGGGAACCUGCCCUUAGGUUCGGAAUAACUCCCCGAAAGGGGUGCUAAUACCGGAUAAUGUCUUCGGACCAAAGAUUUAUCGCCUUUGGAUGGGCCCGCGUUGGAUUAGCUAGUUGGUAGGGUAAAAGCCUACCAAGGCGACGAUCCAUAGCUGGUCUGAGAGGAUGAUCAGCCACACUGGGACUGAGACACGGCCCAGACUCCUACGGGAGGCAGCAGUGGGUAAUAUUGUACAAUGGGCGAAAGCCUGAUCCAGCAAUGCCGCGUGAGUGAUGAAGGCCUUAGGGUUGUAAAGCUCUUUUACCCGGGAUGAUAAUGACAGUACCGGGAGAAUAAGCACCGGCUAACUCCGUG